AUUGAACGCUGGCGGCAGGCCUAACACAUGCAAGUCGAGCGGAUGAAGGGAGCUUGCGCCUGGAUUCAGCGGCGGACGGGUGGGUAAUGCCUAGGAAUCUGCCUGGUAUUGGGGGAUAACGUCCGGAAACGGGCGCUAAUACCGCAUACGUCCUGAGGGAGAAAGUGGGGGAUCUUCGGACCUCACGCUAUCAGAUGAGCCUAGGUCGGAUUAGCUAGUUGGUGGGGUAAAGGCCUACCAAGGCGACGAUCCGUAACUGGUCUGAGAGGAUGAUCAGUCACACUGGAACUGAGACACGGUCCAGACUCCUACGGGAGGCAGCAGUGGGGAAUAUUGGACAAUGGGCGAAAGCCUGAUCCAGCCAUGCCGCGUGUGUGAAGAAGGUCUUCGGAUUGUAAAGCACUUUUAGUUGGGAGGAAGGGCAGUAAGUUAAUACCUUGCUGUUUUGACGUUACCAACAGAAUAAGCACCGGCUAACUUCGUG
rnacentral:rRNA from 1 species